GGGCCUAUAGCUUAGUUGGUAGAGCACCCCGGUCGCAUCGGGGAGACGAGGGUUCAAUUCCCCCUAGGUCCA
rnacentral:tRNA from 1 species